rnacentral:rRNA from 1 species
UACAGAGGGUGCUAGCGUUGUUCGGAAUCAUUGGGCGUAAAGGGCGUGUAGGCGGUUUGUUAAGUCAUGUGUGAAAUCCCUCGGCUCAACCGGGGAAGGACGCAUGAAACUGGCAAGCUAGAGUACCAAAGAGGGGGGUGGAAUUCCCGGUGUAGCGGUGAAAUGCGCAGAUAUCAGGAGGAACACCGGUGGCGAAGGCGGAUCUCUGGGCCUUACCUGACGCUGAGGCGCGAAAGCUAGGGGAGCAAACAGG